CGGCAAGAGCUCAAAUUUGAAAUCUGGUGCCUUCGGUACCCGAGUUGUAAUUUGAAGAGGAUGCCUCGGGGGCGGCCACGGCCCAAGUUCCUUGGAACAGGACGUCGCAGAGGGUGAGAAUCCCGUUCAGCGGCUGCCGGCCUGCCUCCUUGUGUGGCUCCUUCGAA
rnacentral:rRNA from 1 species